UGGUCUGUCCUUUCAAGUGUACACACUGUC
rnacentral:piRNA from 1 species